CCUGAGCCAAAGACAGAUGCUUAACGACUGAGCCACCCAGCAUCCUUGAAGGCACUUUGGAUGGCAGUUAAACUCCACAAAUAAAAUACCCAAGAACGCACAAAACUCCUACCAAAGAGCUACAGCCGAGUUUAUGCUCAUGUACCUGGUGACUCCGAUGUGGGACUGUCACCUGAGAAGCAGUGAUCCUAAGAUCCUUGGCUGUAAGCACAGCUGGGUCUCAGGGCUGUGAAGACGUGAAGGAAAAAAGAAAAAAAAAACAAUGUAUGUCUUCCAGAGCCUGGAGGAGAGAGGAAUGGGGGAAUGACUGCUCAGUGUGCAUGCGGCUUCCUUCCGGGGUGAUGAAAAUGUUCCAGCACUAGACAAUGCGGAUGGCUGCACACAGUGUGGAUGUAUUAAACGCUGCUGGAUCGUACACUUGAAAAUGAUUAAAAUGGUAAAUUUUAUUUUA